rnacentral:rRNA from 1 species
UACCAGCACCCCGAGUGGUCGGGACGUUUAUUGGGCCUAAAGCAUCCGUAGCCGGUUCUACAAGUCUUCCGUUAGAUCCACCUGCUUAACAGAUGGGCUGCGGAAGAUACUAUAGAGCUAGGAGGCGGGAGAGGCAAGCGGUACUCGAUGGGUAGGGGUAAAAUCCGUUGAUCCAUUGAAGACCACCAGUGGCGAAGGCGGCUUGCCAGAACGCACUCGACGGUGAGGGAUGAAAGCUGGGGGAGCAAACCGGG